AUGCAGUACCACCACCGCAGCCGCCUGCCGCCGCCUCCUCCACCGCCGUUUGGCCGCGGCAGUGGUGCCGUGUACCCCGGCGGUCACAAGCAGCUGUACGCUCCUCAAACUCCUCCUCGGCCCCCGCUUCUUGCGCCGCCGCAUCGCAGAUACGAGGUGCUCAUGGAGGCCGGCCGCCUCGCGGCCGAGUACCUGGUAUCCACGGGCGUGCUCCCGCCGUCCUCCCUACAGCGCGGCGGCGGCGACCCGUGGGCUGUUCCUCCUCCUCCACUGCCUCAACCGCGGCAGGAACCCCCCGCAUUCUAUGACUGGAGGAGGUACGAUGAUGUAUAUAGCAAUAACCCUGGCACCCGGCCUAGGCGGAACAGUAGCAUUACUAGUUGUUGUACUAAUAGAGAUGAUUACAGUAAUGGUGGUAGCUACAAUGGGAGAUGGAAGAGAAAGUAUGGGGAGUACAGAAUGGGGUAUCCAGGUCGUGGAAGGGAGAGGGAGGAGGAGAGAGCAAGGUCGAAUUCGAAUGGUCGACGCUAUGAGGAAGAUAAGGACGAGGAUGGUGCUCCUGGAUUUCAGAGGGAUCGGCGGUCCAGUGUGGAGAAUGACGAGUCUAGGAGAUGUGUGACGGAUGAGGUGAAAGAGGCGGCACCUUUCAUGGAGAAGGCUGUAGGUCAGUUGGAGAUGAAGGAUACCGGAUUGAAUGCUGAUGUUAGGAAGAAUGCUGAUGCUUUGCUGGAGUUGCAGGCUGAGAAUGAAGGUGAGAUGAAAGAGAAUAAAAUACUGAGUUCAGAAUUAGAGAUGGACCCUAACGGUGAUGUCAAUAACACUUCUAUUGUAGUUGUUAUGGAGGCAGAUGCGAAGCUUUUGCCAGAUGGUAAGGUUGUGGGUGAGAAAGCUGAAGAUAACAACAAAGUUUUGUGUGACCGUAUUGCCUUGAAUGAUGACAUGAAAAUUUUGGAAAAUGGUUUGCAUGUCGACAGGAGGAGUUUGCUUAAACACUAUGACUUUGCAAAAGCUCCAACGAAGCCCAGCUCAUGCCAUGCACAUAGAAAGUUAGUAACUGAAACGGUCGAUCUAGUUUCUUCUAGAGAAGGUUCUCAGAUGGUAGCCGAUGAAGCAGCAAAUGAGAGAUCUUUGACUAACAUCCAGCCAUAUAACAGAGAAGAUCAAAUCUACCAAGAAAGUACUGUCUCUAAGACAGCUUACAAAGAAAUAACAAUGGAACCUAUGCUUCUCCAAGAAAACAAAACAUUAGUUGUUACUGAAAAUAUGAGAGAAUACAAGAACGAUGCACAACUCCAUGUAGUCCAGGAAUACAAGGAAGAACAAGAUGUAUCUUCUUUGACAAUUUCUCAGAAGCAUAACUUGAUGCAAGAAAACGACUUAUCUCCAUUGUCGGCUUCUCGCAAGGGUGGCUUGAUGCAAGAAACCAACCUAUCUACGUUGACAGGAACGCAGGAGGAUAUCAUGAUCGAAGAUGCCAACCUAUCUCCAUUACCAGAUGCUCACAAUGAUAGCUUGAUUGCAGAAACCAACCUAUCUCCAAUGGCAGAUGCACACAAUGAUAGCUUGAUUGAAGAAUCUGAUCAAUCUCCAUCGACAGCUUCUCACGAAGUUACCUUGAUGCAAGAAACUGACAUAACUCAGUCAUUAUCUUUACAUAAAAAUAACUUAAAUCUACAAUUUAAGAAAGGAGCCCAGAUUUGUGAUACUGAAAUUGUGCCAAAAGAAGUGGGCUUGUUUGAGUUUUCUGAUCAGAAGAACAUUGUUGGUGCUGAUUUGUUUUGUAAUGCCGGGGCUGAAACUAUCAUCCAAAUGGAAGAAGAAGAAAAGCUGGAUCAAUCCAGCUCAUUCAGAACACCUAAUAAUCCUGGCUUUGGCCAACACUCUGCACGAGGAUAUUCAGUGGAGCCACAUAAACAACUGCAAGAAGAUUUUGGAGCUAAUGUGGGAGACAUUGUCGGUGGUACAAAUAAUUUGUGCCAAGUUUCAUUAGACAAUAACUCUGUCCAAGUAUUUGAUAUAGAAGAUGACAUGCCAAUUGAAGGUGCUGGCUUUGAUUCUUCAAAAGCAAAGAACGAGAUGAUAUGCUCUAGCAUGGAUGUCAUAAUGCACCCUGGCAUACAUACUGAUGAUCUUCCUGUAAUUGAAGAUGGUUACAAUCUUGCACUUUCUGAUUAUCUAGCGGCUGAUAUACCAUGCUACACAUCAUUGCGACCUGAUCUUCAAGCUGGUAUAUGUACCAAUGAUUCUGAGGGCAUCCCUGUCAUGGAUGAUCCAAUAUAUGGGUCUCUCACUGAUAUUGGUUUCAUGGAUGUUUGGAGCCAGCCAGCUGAGGACUUCGAGAAAUUCUUCUAA
rnacentral:rRNA from 1 species